GGCUGGUCCUAAGGUAGUGAGUUCUCUCAAUUGAUCGUUGUUGAUCAACAGUCAUUUGCAGAUCAAACUCCUUGUUCUAUUCUUUCUCCUGUCUCAUUACUGCACUUGACUAGUCUCUA
rnacentral:Y_RNA from 1 species